GACGAACGCUGGCGGCGUGCUUAACACAUGCAAGUCGAACGGAAAGGCCCUGCUUUUGUGGGAUGCUCGAGUGGCGAACGUGUGAGUAACACGUGAGUAACCUGCCCUUGACUUUGGGAUAACUUCAGGAAACUGGGGCUAAUACCGGAUAGGAGCUCCUGCUGCAUGGUGGGGGUUGGAAAGUUUCGGCGGUUGGGGAUGGACUCGCGGCUUAUCAGCUUGUUGGUGGGGUAGUGGCUUACCAAGGCUUUGACGGGUAGCCGGCCUGAGAGGGUGACCGGCCACAUUGGGACUGAGAUACGGCCAAGACUCCUACGGGAGGCAGCAGUGGGGAAUAUUGCACAAUGGGCGGAAGCCUGAUGCAGCAACGCCGCGUGCGGGAUGACGGCCUUCGGGUUGUAAACCGCUUUCGCCUGUGACGAAGCGUGAGUGACGGUAAUGGGUAAAGAAGCACCGGCUAACUACGUG
rnacentral:rRNA from 1 species